rnacentral:rRNA from 1 species
UUCGAUCAUGGCUCAGAUUGAACGCUGUGGAUGCUUUACACAUGCAAGUCGAACGACGGCACGGACUUCGGUCUGGUGGCGAGUGGCGAACGAAUUGAUAAUGUAUCGGAACGUGCCUAGUAGCGGGGAUAAUACGCGAAAGCGUAGCUAAUACCGCAUACGCCCUCGAGGAAAGCGAGAGGCCUUCAGGCCUCGCACUAUUAGAGCGGCCGAUAUCGGAUUAGCUAGUUGGUGGGGUAACGGCUCGCAAGGCGACGAUCCGUAGCUGGUUUGAGAGGACGACCAGCCACACUGGGACUGAGACACGGCCCAGACUCCUACGGGAGGCAGCAGUGGGGAAUUUUGGACAAUGGGGGAAACCCUGAUCCAGCUAAGCCCGCGUGUGCGAUGAAGGCCUUCGGGUUGUAAAAGCACUUUUGGCCUGCGGGGAAAGAAAGUAUGGCGGAUAUUAUGCCGUACCGGGGAGGGUAACGCCGGCGAACGCGGUAGCCGUAAGUGCAAGCGUUAAUCGGGAUUACUGGGCGUAAAGCGUGCGCAGGCGGUUCGGAACAGAAAGAUGUGAAAUCCCAGAGCUAACUUUGGAACUGCAUUUUUAACUACCGAGCUAGAGUGUGUCAGAGGAGAAUUGGAAUUCCGCGUGUAGCAGUGAAAUGCGUAGAUAUGCGGAGGAACACCGAUGGCGAAGGCAGCCUCCUGGGAUUAACACUGACGCUCAUGCACGAAAGCGUGGGGAGCAAACAGGAUUAGAUACCCUGGUAGUCCACGCCCUAAACGAUGUCAACUAGCUGUUGGGGCCUUCAGGCCUUGGUAGCGCAGCUAACGCGUGAAGUUGACCGCCUGGGAAGAUUACGGUCGCAAGAUUAAAACUCAAAGGAAUUGACGGGGACCCGCACAAGCGGUGGAUGAUGUGGAUUAAUCGAUGCAACGCGAAAAACCUUACCUACCCUUGACAUGUCUGGAAUCCCGAAGAGAUUUGGGAGUGCUCGCAAGAGAACCGGAACACAGGUGCUGCAUGGCUGUCGUCAGCUCGUGUGUCGUGAGAUGUUGGGUUAAGUCCCGCAACGAGCGCAACCCUUGUCAUUAGUUGCUACGAAAGGGCACUCUAAUGAGACUGCCGGUGACAAACCGGAGGAAGGUGGGGAUGACGUCAAGUCCUCGCGGCCCUUAUGGUGAGACGCCACACGUCAUACAAUGGUCGGGACAGAGGGUCGCCAACCCGCGAGGGGACAAUCCCAGAAACCCGAUCGUAGUCCGGAUCGCAGUCUGCAACUCGACUGCGUGAAGUCGAAUCGCUGGUAAUCGCGGACCAGCAUGUCGCGGUGAAUACGUUCCCGGGUCUUGUACACACCGCCCGUCACACCAUGGAGUGGGUUUACCAGAAGUAGUUAGCCUAGCCGUAAGGAGGGCGAUUACCACGGUAGGAUUCAUGACUGGGGUGAAGUCGUAACAAGGUAA